rnacentral:rRNA from 1 species
GGGGAAACGGCAUUGAGUGCUUGCACUCUUUGGACGUCGACCGGCGCACGGGUGAGUAACGCGUAUCCAACCUUCCCAUUACUGUGGGCUAACCUGCCGAAAGGCAGACUAAUACCGCAUAGUCUUCGAUGACGGCAUCAGAUUUGAAGUAAAGAUUUAUCGGUAAUGGAUGGGGAUGCGUCUGAUUAGCUUGUUGGCGGGGUAACGGCCCACCAAGGCGACGAUCAGUAGGGGUUCUGAGAGGAAGGUCCCCCACAUUGGAACUGAGACACGGUCCAAACUCCUACGGGAGGCAGCAGUGAGGAAUAUUGGUCAAUGGACGGAAGUCUGAACCAGCCAAGUAGCGUGCAGGAUGACGGCCCUAUGGGUUGUAAACUGCUUUUGUAUGGGGAUAAAGUUAGGGACGUGUCCCUAUUUGCAGGUACCAUACGAAUAAGGACCGGCUAAUUCCGUGCCAGCAGCCGCGGUAAUACGGAAGGUCCAGGCGUUAUCCGGAUUUAUUGGGUUUAAAGGGAGCGUAGGCUGGAGAUUAAGUGUGUUGUGAAAUGUAGACGCUCAACGUCUGAAUUGCAGCGCAUACUGGUUUCCUUGAGUACGCACAACGUUGGCGGAAUUCGUCGUGUAGCGGUGAAAUGCUUAGAUAUGACGAAGAACUCCGAUUGCGGAGGCAGCUGACGGGAGCGCAACUGACGCUUAAGCUCGAAGGUGCGGGUAUCAAACAGGAUUAGAUANCCUGGUAGUCCGCACAGUAAACGAUGGAUGCCCGCUGUUGGUACCUGGU